rnacentral:lncRNA from 1 species
UCGUGAGAGAAGGAAAACAAGGUGGCGGCUAGGGUUGGACUCCCGGCUCUCUACAGGAAGCCGGAAACAAUGUGUUUCUGCUUGAUCUAUAGAGUGGUGCUUACAAUUAUUUAUACUCCCUUCUAGUCCUUAUCUAAUGAGAUAGAUCUCCUCUUUUCUCUCUAACAAAUCUUAUCUUCUAAUCCCUAUCUUCUCUCUAACAAAUCUUAUCUUCUAAUCCCUAUCUUCUCUCUAACAAAUCUUAUCUUCUAAUCCUUAUCUGCAUGCUUAUCUUCUAAUCCUUAUUUGCAUGCUUAUGCUGUUGCCCGGCGCCUAUAGUGGCGGCCGGUCAUAACAUCUCUCCCUGCCUGCGCAAACAGCUCGUCCUCGAGCUGCACAUCCGGGUAGAGAGUCUUGAAGUCGUCCAGGGGCUCCCAGGUGGCGUCGUCCUCCGGAAGGCCUUGCCACUUGACGAGGAUGUGCCACGCGCCGCGACGGAGCUGUGCGCGCAGGACCUGCGCAGGGGCUGGCAGCAGUCGCCCGUCCUGAACCGGUGGCAGCACGGCUGGUGUUGAUGGUGGCGAGCCGGCAGAGUUGUACGACUUUAACAACCCCACAUGGAAGACGUCAUGCAGGCACGCGUCCGCGGGGAGUCGGAGACGAUAAGCCACCUGCCCGAUGCGCUCGACGAUCUGGAACGGCCCCGCGUAGCGUGGGCGCAGCUUGCCCUUGGACGGCGAGACGAGCGCAUGGGUGGGUCGGUGGAGAAGUCGGAGCAGCACCCAUGCGCCCUUGUCGAACUCCACCUCGCGAUGGUGCUCAUCGUAGUGGCGCUUGGCGUACUGCUGGGCCUGAAGAAGACGCUCGCGAACCUCCUCCAGGAACGCGUCGCGGUCCCGCAGCAUGGCGUCCACCGCUUCUGUCUGGGCCGCCCCGGCGUGGUGUGGCAUGAGGGGUGGUGGGGGUCGGCCGUACACAACCUCGAAUGGCGACGCUCGGAGUGCCGUGUGGUACGAGGUAUUGUAGCAGUACUCCGCCCAGGAGAGCCAGUCGACCCACGAGCGAGGCCGAUCACCUGUCGCACAGCGCAAAUACAUCGCAAUGACCUUGUUGACGACCUCGGACUGGCCGUCCAUCUGGGGAUGAAAGGUCGUACCGAGCCGCUGCUUGACACCUGCACAUUUAAAGAGAUCGCGCCAGAGAUUGCUGGUGAAGACUGGGUCGCGAUCGCUGACGAUGGAGCUGGGGAAACCGUGUAGGUGCACGAUCCCGUCGAAGAAGGCACGGGCGACGGAGGCGGCGGUGUAGGGGUGGCUGAGCGCGAUGAAGUGGGUGUACUUCGAGAAGCGGUCCACCACCGUCAGGACGACGGACUUGCCGUGCACUUUCGGCAGCCCCUCGAUGAAGUCCAUGGAGAUAUCUGCCCACACCUGUGACGGAACGUCCAAGGGCUGAAGUAGGCCGGCCGGCUGUGUGGUCGGUGUCUUGUUCCGCUGGCACACGUCACAGGAGCGGACGAAGUCGAGCACCAGCUGGCGGUCGCCGGGGAUGUAGAAGUCCGCGCGGAGGCGCACAAGGGUUUUCUGGACCCCCUCGUGUCCUGCCGAGUGAGCCAGGGUCACCACCUGGUGGCGCAAGUCGUCGGUGGCAGGCACGUAGAUGCGCUUGCCGUGGAGGAGGAAGCCGUCGUCGGCUGCCCACGGCGCGCCCAGAGAUGCAGCCUGCAGCUGCUGCAGCAGGUCGCGCGUGACCGGGUCGGCCGCGGUGGCACGACGAAUGUCGGCGUAGAGGUCGAAGGAGGGCCCAGAGAGGGCACAGAGCGCCGCAGUCUCCUCGUCGCGGCGAGACAGCGCGUCGGCCGCCGAGUUGAGCCGCCCGGGGCGGUACUCGACGGUGAAGUCGAACCCGAACAGCUUGCUGAGCCACUGGUGUUGAGGCACGGUGGACAGCUGUUGGUCCAGGAGGAACUUCAGGCUGUAGUGGUCGGUGCGGACGAGGAACCGGCGCCCCCACAAGUACGGGCGCCAGUGCCGGACGGCUUGCACCAGCCCGAUGAGCUCGCGCUCGUAGGCCGCCAGCUUGACAUGGCGAGCGGCGAAGGGUCGACUGAAGAAGGCCAGGGGUCCGCCCCCCUGGUGUAGAACGACGCCAAAGCCGGUGCCGGACGCGUCGCAGUCGACCACGAACUGGCGCGCGAAGUCGGGCAUCUAUGGAACCGGCGCCGACGAGAGCGCCCGCUUCAGGGCAACGAAAGCCUCGUCCGCCUCCGCCGUCUAGACGAAUGCCUCCUUCCGCAGGAGACGUGUGAGUGGCGCCGCGAUGGAGCCGAAGUCGCGGAUGAACUUCCUGUAGUAGCCGGCGAGGCCCAGGAAGCCACGCACCCCGUGUGUAGAGCAUGGUAGCGGCCACGAGGCGACCGCGGCCACUUUGUCGCUGUCCAUGGCGACGCCGUCGGCGGAGAUGACGUGGCCGAGGUAGGCGACGGAGGGGGUCCCGAAGGAGCACUUCGAUCUCUUCAGAAAGAGGCCGUGGGCUCGUAGGGCGGUGAAGUCGAGGCCGACAUGCUGCAGGUGCUCAGAUCACGACGUGCUGUAGAUCAGAAUGUCAUCAAAGAAAACCAGCACAAACCUACGGAGGAAGGGGUGGAGCACGUCAUUCAUCAACGCCUGAAAUGUCGCAGGGGCGUUGGAGAGCCCAAACGGCAUCACCAGGAACUCGAAAUGGCCAUGGUGGGUGCGGAACACCGUCUUCUCAAUGUCGGCCGGGUGCAUGCGCACCUGAUGGUACCCCGAGCGGAGGUCGAGCUUGGUGAAGUACUUGGCCCCGUGGAGCUCGUCGAGGAGCUCGUCAACCACCGGGAUCGGGAACUUGUCCUUGGACGUACGGUCGUUGAGCGGGCGGUAGCCGAUGCAGAAGCGCCACGACCCAUCUGCCUUCUUGACGAGGAGCACAGGUGCCGAGAACGGAGAAGUACUGGGGCGGAUGAUGCCCUGCUCCAGCAUGGCGGCGCACUGCCGCUCGAGCUCGUCCUUCUGCAACUGAGGGUACCGGUACGGCCGCACUGCCACCGGCGCGGUCUCGGGCAGCAGGUGUAUGCGGUGGUCGUAGGGGCGGGCUGGUGGAAGACCGCGUGGUGUGUCGAAGACGGCUUCGUGCUGACAUAGGAGCUCGUCCAGCAGCGGGUGGUGUGGGUCCGGAACUACUGCUAGCAGCGACCGCUGCUGGGAGGGUGCGCCCGGGGCGCCCACACACUGCCACGUGACGCGGCGGCCCUCGUGCAGGAAGGAUACGGUGAGCCCCUCGAAGUCCCAGGUGAGGGGGCCCAGCGUGCCCAGGAAGUCGACGCCGAGGAUGAAGUCGAAGCAGCCGAGCGCGAGGCCGACGCAGGUGAUGGAGAAGGGCGCCCCGAAGAUGUCGAUGGGCACGUUGCGUGCAAGGCCUUCACACGGCACGCGCUCGCCGUUGGCCACCGUAACACGAAGCUAGUCGCCCCCCUGAGGAGCGAGUCCAAGGCGCCGCAUGGCCGCGCCCUGGAGGAACGUGUGGGUGGAGCCGGUGUCCAGGAGGGCGAGGAGGCGCUCGCCCUUGAUCGUCACGGGCAGGAGCAUAGAUUGGUACGUCCUGAUGCCUGCCAGAGCGUGUACAGAGACCACAAGAGCGUGAGCGUGAGCGUCCGCUGCGGCGGCGGCUUCUUCGGGCGAGGCCGCGGCCGCAUCGUCGGCUGCCGCCUCCUCGUCGGCGUCGAGGAAAUCGUCCACCUCCAGGAAGAACAAGCGGGGGCACACGUGCCCACGCACGUACUGCUCGUCGCAGUUGUAGCAGAGGCCUUGACGACGGCGUUCCUGCAUCUCGGCCGGCGAGAGGCGACGGUGCGGUCGUGCGGGUGCCGCCGGGGCUGCUGCGCCAUGUGCUGCAGCGCCGGCUGCGGGCGGCGCAGGCAGCGCUGGUGCGCCAGCCGGGGCCGCGGUCGCCCCCUGUUGGCAUGGGGGAAAGGCUGGCCGCGGGGGAGGGCGGGCGCCGCGCUGCUGAGGAGGCGCUGCCGCGGCCAGAGCCCGUGUCUCGAAGGCGCGGGCGAGAAACAUGGUCGUCUGGAGGUCGGGCGGGGCGCGCAUCGCGACGUCGACCCGAAUGUGUUCCGAGAGGCCACCGACGAAGAGCUCCGCCUUUUGGCGCGUGGAGAGGUCCCUUGAGUGCACCAGCACCGUCUGGAAGCGGUCCGCAAACUCCUGGACCGUGGAGUGGAAAGGAAGGCGCCCCAACUUGGCCAGCCGCGAGCCGUAGAUAGGCGGUCCGAAGCGAAGGCGACAAAGCUCCUUGAAGCGCUCCCAGGACGGCAUGCCCUCGUCCAACAGGAGUGCGUAGUACCAUGUCUGAGCGGCGCCGGUGAGGUGGUAGGAGGCCAUCCACGUCCGCUGCUCCACCGGAGUGCGCUGGCCCCAGAAGAAAUUGUUCACAGUGUGUGAGCCAAUUCAGCGGGUCGACCGAGCCGUCGUAUGUCGCGAAGUCGAUCUUGUAGGUCCGAGGCUGGAAAGGCGCCGCGCCGAACGUCGCGGGAGCCGUAGCCGAGGGCGCCCCGCCGAUCACUGGAGCUGCAGCCGGCGCGGAGCAGAAAGUGGAGUCGUGGAGAAUUGUGCCGUCAACGCCGCCAUAGAGCGUUCCUGACGCCGGAACGCCCCCAUGGCCGAAGCCUGCUGUGAUGUGAGGGGUCGAAUGGACCGACGGGCACGCCGGCGCAGAGGAGUAGACUGGCUGCACGACGUCGGUGAGCCACGGCGGAAGCGGGGACGGCGAGUGGGGGAACUGGAUCUCCUGGAUGGGGACGCCGCCGAGGGACACCGCCGGUGUGGGCGCGGUGGUGUGCGCCGUGCUGUCCUGCGGCAUCCCGUAGGGGUAGACAGCGCCCGAGGCGGGUGAAGGCAGCUGCUGCCGCGGGUUGGGCGCCGACGGUAGCUGCGGCUGCGGUCCCAAGAGGAAGGCGUGGACGCCGGCCAUCAUCCUGCCGAGGUCGAGGACGGCUGUGGUGAGUUGCUCGUUGGUCAUCACGCCCGCGGCGGCGGAGGAAGCCCCGGCGGCCAACGACAGCGAUCCCGCGGGCAGAUAUGUUUGCGGAAUCGGUGCGGAUGGGAUCGGCACAGACACGUUGGAGUCCGGCGGCGAUGUGGUUGCAGCGGGCAGCGGCAGCGACAUCGGAUCGAAGGCUCUGAUACCAGGUUGGUAUGCUGCUGUUCUCUGCCACGCAUCGAUCGGAGGUUGUACGUGUGGAGGAUCGGUGGACACGGUUUGAAGGCUGAACGGCGGCGAGGAGUCAGCGAUCGUGAGAGGAGGAAAACAAGGUGGCGGCUAGGGUUGGACUCCCGUCUCCCUACAGGAAGCCGGAAACAAUGUGUUUCUGCUUGAUCUAUAGAGUGGUGCUUACAAUUAUUUAUACUCCCUUCUAGUCCUUAUCUAAUGAGAUAGAUCUCCUCUUUUCUCUCUAACAAAUCUUAUCUUCUAAUCCCUAUCUUCUCUCUAACAAAUCUUAUCUUCUAAUCCCUAUCUUCUCUCUAACAAAUCUUAUCUUCUAAUCCUUAUUUGCAUGCUUAUGCUGUUGCCCGGCACCUAUAGUGGCGGCCGGUCAUAACAACUUCCACGCUGUCAGAAUUUAACAUUCAAACACACUGCCAAAAUAUUU